rnacentral:rRNA from 1 species
AACGAACGCUGGCGGCAUGCCUAACACAUGCAAGUCGAACGAGACCUCCGGGUCUAGUGGCGCACGGGUGCGUAACGCGUGGGAAUCUACCCGUGGGUUCGGAAUAACAGUUAGAAAUGACUGCUAAUACCGGAUGAUGACGUAAGUCCAAAGAUUUAUCGCCCAAGGAUGAGCCCGCGUAAGAUUAGCUUGUUGGUGGGGUAAUGGCCUACUAAGGCGACGAUCUUUAGCUGGUAUGAGAGGAUGAUCAGCCACACUGGGACUGAGACACGGCCCAGACUCCUACGGGAGGCAGCAGUGGGGAAUAUUGGACAAUGGGCGAAAGCCUGAUCCAGCAAUGCCGCGUGAGUGAUGAAGGCCUUAGGGUUGUAAAGCUCUUUUACCAGGGAUGAUAAUGACAGUACCUGGAGAAUAAGCUCCGGCUAACUCCGUGCCAGCCGCCGCUGUAA